GGCUCAGGAUGAACGCUGGCGGCGUGCUUAACACAUGCAAGUCGAACGAGCUUUAUUACUACGAUCCCUUCGGGGUGACGGUUUUAAAGCGAGUGGCGGACGGGUGAGUAACGCGUGGAUAACCUGCCAUAUACUGGGGGAUAACAGCUGGAAACAGCUGCUAAUACCGCAUAAAACUGUAGAGUCGCAUGACUUUAUAGCCAAAGCUCCGGCGGUGUAUGAUGGAUCCGCGUCUGAUUAGGCAGUUGGCGGGGUAACGGCCCACCAAACCGACGAUCAGUAGCCGACCUGAGAGGGUGACCGGCCACAUUGGGACUGAGACACGGCCCAGACUCCUACGGGAGGCAGCAGUGGGGAAUAUUGCACAAUGGAGGAAACUCUGAUGCAGCGACGCCGCGUGAGCGAUGAAGUAUUUCGGUAUGUAAAGCUCUAUCAGCAGGGAAGAUAAUGACGGUACCUGACUAAGAAGCUCCGGCUAAAUACGUG
rnacentral:rRNA from 1 species